GAUGAACGCUGGCUGUGUGCCUAAUACAUGCAUGUCGAGCGAAGCACUUUUGUGCUUAGCGGCGAAUGGGUGAGUAACACGUACUUAACCUACCCUCAAGAUUGGGACAACACUUGGAAACGAGUGCUAAUACCAAAUACGUAUUUUUAUCGCAUGAUAGAUAUAUAAAAGGAGCUUCGGCUUCACUAGAGGAUGGGAGUGCGCUACAUUAGUUAGUUGGUAGGGUAAUGGCCUACCAAGACUAUGAUGUAUAGCGGGGCCGAGAGGCUGAUCCGCCACACUGGGACUGAGAUACGGCCCAGACUCCUACGGGAGGCAGCAGUAGGGAAUUUUCCACAAUGAACGAAAGUUUGGUGGAGCGACACAGCGUGCAGGAUGAAGGUCUUCGGAUUGUAAACUGCUGUUAUAAGAGAAGAAAAACCCUGGUAGGUAAUGACCAGGACUUGACGGUACCUUAUCAGAAAGCGACGGCUAACUAUGUGCCAGCAGCCGCGGUAAUACAUAGGUCGCAAGCGUUAUCCGGAAUUAUUGGGCGUAAAGAGUUCGUAGGUGGUUUUGUAAGUCUGAAGUUAAAUACCGGGGCUCAACCCCGGCCCGCUUUGGAUACUGCAAAACUAGAGUAAUAGAGAGGUUAGUGGAACUCCAAGUGAAGCGGUGGAAUGCGUAGAUAUUUGGAAGAACACCAAUGGCGAAGGCAACUAACUGGAUAUUAACUGACACUGAGGAACGAAAGCGUGGGUAGCAAACAGG
rnacentral:rRNA from 1 species